CACUUUGGCAGCAUGUAUACUACUAGAAUUGGAACAAUACAGAGAAGAUUAGCAUGGCCCCUGAGCAAGGAUGACAUGCAAAUUCAUGAAGCAUUCCAUAGUUUU